AUAUGAUUGACUUGAACCUAAAGAUUAUGUUUCUAAAUCUUAUGCAAGUCCAAAUAAGUUGGAAAAUUGAAGUUUCAUACACAAAGUUUAUUUUAGAAUAACAGUAAAUUAAUUUAUAGAGAAGUAAUGGAUCGAUUAUCGCAUACUUUGUGUACCAUGAACAUUGACAGUUCGUUAUUGCAGCUCAAACACGUAUGUGUCACCUAUUUUGAAGUUGUUUCUCUUUAGCAUAUUGUGACCAACCUGUAGUAAAACAUCAUACGUUACCAUUUGUUGUAAAACUCGUAGAAAUAGUCCAAGUACAAUGCGAACAGUCAUGGAUUCGAACACUUCGUAUAAAUUUGGGUAGAUGUUAUCCACUGAAUCUUGAAGGUACAUGCUAAAAAGUAAAAUAAAAAUGAGCGAAACAAGGAAUUUAAAAUUGUAGAAGCAUGAGUAAAAUGAAAACUUACAAUUUUGCAACCUUCAUUAUGUUUGAAUGUUAGCCUAAAGACAGGAUUUCUUGUAUUGAAUGUCUCUUCUUCAACAACUUCGAAGUCGGAGUGGUAUGUAUCAUAAGUUACUUCUAAUUGUGAAU
rnacentral:lncRNA from 1 species